CCUCCUUUCUAUAGUAUUCAAAUUUUAGGAUGUUAGUCUUUUUCUAUCUUCAAUAUUAUAUUUUAACUCACCCAAUAGCUCAGUUCUCACUACUGAACUCCGUGGCUAUUAUUAUAGUCCCUUAGCUCAGUUGGUUAGAGCGCUACACUGAUAAUGUAGAGGUCCGCAGUUCAAAUCUGCGAGGGACUACGCUAGGGGGAUUAGCUCAGCUGGCUAGAGCGCCUGCCUUGCACGCAGGAGGUCAUCGGUUCGACUCCGAUAUUCUCCACUAAACUCAAAUGAGUUGAAGUUCUUUGACGUAUUUCAAUAUUAAUAAUCAUAAAAAGUACAUAACAAAUUGUUACUUAUUAAAAAGCAAAUUAAGGGCGUAUGGCGGAUGCCUUGGCUCUCAGAGGCUAUGAAGGACGUAAUAAGCUGCGAUAAGCUACGGGUAGGAGCAAAUAUCCUUUUGAUCCGUANAUUUUCCCGAAAUGGGG
rnacentral:misc_RNA from 1 species